rnacentral:rRNA from 1 species
GACAGAGGGUGCAAACGUUGUUCGGAAUUACUGGGCGUAAAGCGCGUGUAGGCUGCUCAGAAAGUCGGAUGUGAAAGCCCUGGGCUCAACCCAGGAAGUGCACUCGAAACUGCCAGGCUAGAGUAUCGGAGAGGUUGGUGGAAUUCUCGGUGUAGAGGUGAAAUUCGUAGAUAUCGAGAGGAACACCGGUGGCGAAGGCGGCCAACUGGACGAAUACUGACGCUGAGACUCGAAAGCGUGGGGAGCAAACAGG